AAUGAACGCUGGCGGCAGGCCUAACACAUGCAAGUCGAACGGAUCCUUCGGGAUUAGUGGCGGACGGGAGAGUAACGCGUGGGAACAUACCCUUUGGUACGGAAUAGCCUCGGGAAACUGGGAGUAAUACCGUAUGUGGUCGAGAGACGAAAGAUUUAUCGCCAAAGGAUUGGCCCGCGUUGGAUUAGGUAGUUGGUGGGGUAAUGGCCUACCAAGCCGACGAUCCAUAGCUGGUUUGAGAGGAUGAUCAGCCACACUGGGACUGAGACACGGCCCAGACUCCUACGGGAGGCAGCAGUGGGGAAUCUUAGACAAUGGGGGAAACCCUGAUCUAGCCAUGCCGCGUGAUCGAUGAAGGCCUUAGGGUUGUAAAGAUCUUUCAGGUGGGAAGAUAAUGACUGUACCACCAGAAGAAGCCCCGGCCAACUCCGUGCCAGCCGCCGCCGUAAGAC
rnacentral:rRNA from 1 species